AUUGAACGCUGGCGGAAUGCUUUACACAUGCAAGUCGAACGGCAGCACGGACUUCGGUCUGGUGGCGAGUGGCGAACGGGUGAGUAAUACAUCGGAACGUGCCCAGUCGUGGGGGAUAACGUAGCGAAAGCUACGCUAAUACCGCAUACGAUCUAAGGAUGAAAGCGGGGGAUCGCAAGACCUCGCGCGAUUGGAGCGGCCGAUGGCAGAUUAGGUAGUUGGUAGGGUAAAGGCCUACCAAGCCGACGAUCUGUAGCUGGUCUGAGAGGAUGAUCAGCCACACUGGGACUGAGACACGGCCCAGACUCCUACGGGAGGCAGCAGUGGGGAAUUUUGGACAAUGGGCGCAAGCCUGAUCCAGCCAUUCCGCGUGCAGGAUGAAGGCCUUCGGGUUGUAAACUGCUUUUGUACAGAACGAAAAGGCUCUGGUUAAUACCCGGGGCUCAUGACGGUACUGUAAGAAUAAGCACCGGCUAACUACGUGCCAGCCGCCGCGGUAA
rnacentral:rRNA from 1 species